rnacentral:rRNA from 1 species
UGGGGAAUCUUCCGCAAUGGGCGAAAGCCUGACGGAGCAACGCCGCGUGAGUGAAGACGGCCUUCGGGUUGUAAAGCUCUGUUAUAGGGGACGAACGGCCGGGUAGCGAAGAGGUAGCCGGCAUGACGGUACCGUAAGAGAAAGCCACGGCUAACUACGUGCCAGCAGCCGCGGUAAUACGUAGGUGGCAAGCGUUGUCCGGAAUGAUUGGGCGUAAAGGGCGCGCAGGCGGCUGUGUAAGUCUGUCCGGAAAGUGCGGGGCUAAACCCCGUGAGAGGAUGGAAACUGGACAGCUGAGAGUGUCGGAGAGGAAAGCGGAAUUCCUAGUGUAGCGGUGAAAUGCGUAGAUAUUAGGAGGAACACCGGUGGCGAAAGCGGCUUUCUGGACGACAACUGACGCUGAGGCGCGAAAGCCAGGGGAGCAAACGGGAUUAGAUACCCCGGUAGUCCUGGCCGUAAACGAUGGGUACUAGGUGUAGGAGGUAUCGACCCCUCCUGUGCCGGAGUUAACGCAAUAAGUACCCCGCCUGGGGAGUACGGCCGCAAGGCUG